CCUACCACUUCCGGGCCCCCAGCCGCAUCUUCUGGCGGACCGUGCGAGGUAUGCUGCCCCACAAGACCAAGCGAGGCCAGGCCGCUCUGGACCGUCUCAAGGUGUUUGACGGCAUCCCACCGCCCUAUGACAAGGUGAGCUGUGCCAACCCCUGCAGGCAGCGGCCUUACCUGUGGCGUCCAUGAUGUUCCGCCACUACCUACAUUGUUUGAUCCUCAUGAAAGCAGCACUGGCUGAGACGCCGGCCCAGCCAACCUCCUUCCCUGUCUGUCCCUCCCGGGCUCUAAGCCCCUCUCUUUCUCUAACAGAAAAAGCGGAUGGUGGUUCCUGCUGCCCUCAAGGUUGUGCGUCUGAAGCCUACAAGAAAGUUUGCCUAUCUGGGGCGCCUGGCUCAUGAGGUUGGCUGGAAGUACCAGGCAGUGACAGCCACCCUGGAGGAGAAGAGGAAAGAGAAAGCCAAGAUCCACUACCGGAAGAAGAAACAGCUCAUGAGGCUACGGAAACAGGCCGAGAAGAACGU
rnacentral:sRNA from 1 species